CAGUCGAGCGAACAGAUAAGGAGCUUGCUCCUUUGACGUUAGCGGCGGACGGGUGAGUAACACGUGGGUAACCUACCUAUAAGACUGGAAUAACUCCGGGAAACCGGGGCUAAUGCCGGAUAACAUAUAGAACCGCAUGGUUCUAUAGUGAAAGAUGGUUUUGCUAUCACUUAUAGAUGGACCCGCGCCGUAUUAGCUAGUUGGUAAGGUAAUGGCUUACCAAGGCGACGAUACGUAGCCGACCUGAGAGGGUGAUCGGCCACACUGGAACUGAGACACGGUCCAGACUCCUACGGGAGGCAGCAGUAGGGAAUCUUCCGCAAUGGGCGAAAGCCUGACGGAGCAACGCCGCGUGAGUGAUGAAGGGUUUCGGCUCGUAAAACUCUGUUAUUAGGGAAGAACAUAUGUGUAAGUAACUGUGCACAUCUUGACGGUACCUAAUCAGAAAGCCACGGCUAACUACGUGCCAGCAGCCGCGGUAAUACGUAGGUGGCAAGCGUUAUCCGGAAUUAUUGGGCGUAAAGCGCGCGUAGGCGGUUUCUUAAGUCUGAUGUGAAAGCCCACGGCUCAACCGUGGAGGGUCAUUGGAAACUGGGAAACUUGAGUGCAGAAGAGGAAAGUGGAAUUCCAUGUGUAGCGGUGAAAUGCGCAGAGAUAUG
rnacentral:rRNA from 1 species